GGUGGACCUGCACAGGUGAGUUAGACACAUGCAUGUUGCAGACAGUAGACUUUGCUGCUUUGCUCACUUGUGCUUCUCUGUUUCAGAUGCUGGGAGACGAGCAGUGGACCUGCACAGGUGAGUUAGACACAUGCAUGUUGCAGACAGUAGACUUUGCUGCUUUGCUCACUUGUGCUUCUGUCUUUCAGAUGCUGGGAGACACAGCGGUGGACGUACAGAGGGGGGAGGAGGUGACAGGUUGACAGAGACAGACAGUGCGUGGACAAAGACAGCAAGAUGGAUGCCCCACUCUUCUUCUUGGUAGAAAUAAAAGCAAAUGCUGACAACCCUA